rnacentral:rRNA from 1 species
AUUGAACGCUGGCGGAAUGCUUUACACAUGCAAGUCGAACGGCAGCACGGGUGCAACCCUGGUGGCGAGUGGCGAACGGGUGAGUAAUACAUCGGAACGUGCCCGGUCGUGUGGGAUAACGUAGCGAAAGUUACGCUAAUACCGCAUACGAUCUGAGGAUGAAAGCGGUGGACCUUCGGGCCUCGCGCGAUCUGAGCUGCCGAUGUCAGAUUAGGUAGUUGGUUGGGUAAAGGCCUACCAAGCCGACGAUCUGUAGCUGGUAUGAGAGGACGACCAGCCACACUGGGACUGAGACACGGAACAGAAGACUAAGGGAGGCAGCAGUGGGGAAUUUUGGACAAUGGGCGCAAGCCUGAUCCAGCCAUACCGCGUGAAGGAAGAAGGCCUUCGGGUUGUAAACUGCUUUUGUAUGGAAGGAAAAGGCUAUGGAUAAUAGCUGGAGAUAAUGACGGUACCGUAAGAAUAAGCACCGGCUAACUACGUG